rnacentral:rRNA from 1 species
AGCAGCCGCGGUAAUUCCAGCUCCAAUAGCGUAUAUUAAAGUUGUUGCAGUUAAAAAGCUCGUAGUUGAAUUUCGGGGUUAGUAGGUUGGUCAUGCCUCUGGUAUGUACUGGUCUCACUGAUUCCUCCUUCCUGAUGAGCCGUAAUGCCAUUAAUUUGGUGUUGCGGGGAAUUUGGACUGUUACUUUGAAAAAUUAGAGUGUUUAAAGCAAGCUAACGCUUGAAUACAUUAGCAUGGAAUAAUGAAAUAGGACGUUCGAUCCUAUUUUGUUGGUUUCUAGGAUUGACGUAAUGAUUAAUAGGGAUAGUUGGGGGCAUUAGUAUUCAAUUGUCAGAGGUGAAAUUCUUGGAUUUAUUGAGGACUAACUACUGCGAAAGCAUUUGCCAAGGAUGUUUUCAUUAAUACAAGAACGAAAGUUAGGGGAUCGAAGACGAUCAGAUACCGUCGUAGUCUUAACCAUAAACUAUAGCCGACUAGGGAUCGGAUGAUGUUAAUUUU